rnacentral:rRNA from 1 species
UACAGAGGUGGCAAGCGUUGUUCGGAAUUACUGGGCGUAAAGGGCGCGUAGGCGGCCUUCUAAGUCGGACGUGAAAGCCCCAGGCUUAACCUGGGAACUGCGUCCGAUACUGGGAGGCUUGGAUUCGGGAGAGGGAUGUGGAAUUCCAGGUGUAGCGGUGAAAUUCGUAGAUAUUGGGAAGAACACCGGUGGCGAAGGCGGCUAUCUGGCCCGUAAUUGACGCUGAGGAGCGAAAGCGUGGGUAGCGAACAGG